AGUACUGCUAAUACUUAUACAUAUAUAGUAUGAUUAUUUAUAUUGUACAAUUUUAGCACUCCUUUUUGUUUCAAAUUUUUAAUAUUGUUUCAGUGCAUACUAAGUUAGGAACAUUUUCAGUAGUUGGUGAUAUCAGGACAUUUACAACAAUCAAAUACUGUAAGAAUUCUUUCAGAACUGGAAUUUAUCAGUUUUGAUUUUGGGCUGAUGUUGUAACAACCUAUCCCACAACAUAUAGUCCAUUUACCACUACGACGGAAUGCCGGAAGGAUGAUAGUAAAGUCGAAAGGUGUUAUGCCUUUUACUGCGGGAAUGGUCAAUGGCAACAAUUCGAGUUCACAGCUACAUACGAGUGCUGUAAGACAUCUGAUCAUCCAAAAUGUUUAAUGUUUGGAUACACACAAGCGCCCCUGGUUGGAUAAAUUAAAUUACAACUCAACAAGUUAUAAAACAUUUGUACAUGAGGUUAUGCUAUAACAUAUCUUGAAAUAAAGUGUUCCUUUGUUCUA